rnacentral:rRNA from 1 species
AGUCGAACGGCAGCGCGGGGCAACCUGGCGGCGAGUGGCGAACGGGUGAGUAAUAUAUCGGAACGUACCCAAGAGUGGGGGAUAACGUAGCGAAAGUUACGCUAAUACCGCAUACGAUCUAAGGAUGAAAGUGGGGGAUCGCAAGACCUCAUGCUCCUGGAGCGGCCGAUAUCUGAUUAGCUAGUUGGUGAGGUAAAGGCUCACCAAGGCGACGAUCAGUAGCUGGUCUGAGAGGACGACCAGCCACACUGGAACUGAGACACGGUCCAGACUCCUACGGGAGGCAGCAGUGGGGAAUUUUGGACAAUGGGCGCAAGCCUGAUCCAGCAAUGCCGCGUGAGUGAAGAAGGCCUUCGGGUUGUAAAGCUCUUUUGUCAGGGAAGAAACGGUCGGAGCUAAUAUCUCUGACUAAUGACGGUACCUGAAGAAUAAGCACCGGCUAACUACGUGCCAGCAGCCGCGGUAAUACGUAGGGUGCAAGCGUUAAUCGGAAUUACUGGGCGUAAAGCGUGCGCAGGCGGUUUUGUAAGUCUGUCGUGAAAUCCCCGGGCUCAACCUGGGAAUUGCGAUGGAGACUGCAAGGCUAGAAUCUGGCAGAGGGGGGUAGAAUUCCACGUGUAGCAGUGAAAUGCGUAGAGAUGUGGAGGAACACCGAUGGCGAAGGCAGCCCCCUGGGUCAAGAUUGACGCUCAUGCACGAAAGCGUGGGGAGCAAACAGGAUUAGAUACCCUGGUAGUCCACGCCCUAAACGAUGUCUACUAGUUGUCGGGUCUUAAUUGACUUGGUAACGCAGCUAACGCGUGAAGUAGACCGCCUGGGGAGUACGGUCGCAAGAUUAAAACUCAAAGGAAUUGAC